UCUUAAAACACCAGUUCUCGAACGAUCACCGAAGUUUAGCAACGUCUAGCCUGGUUAGUAAGUAGAUGGGUGAGCGCUUGCGAAUAUCAGGUGCUGUAA